GACAGAGGGUGCAAACGUUGUUCGGAAUUACUGGGCGUAAAGCGCGUGUAGGCGGCUGCGUGUGUCGGGCGUGAAAUCCCAUGGCUCAACCAUGGAAGUGCACCCGAAACUGCGUAGCUAGAGUCCUGGAGAGGAAGGUGGAAUGCUUGGUGUAGAGGUGAAAUUUGUAGAUAUCAAGCGGAACACCGGUGGCGAAGGCGGCCUUCUGGACAGUGACUGACGCUGAGACG
rnacentral:rRNA from 1 species